CCUACGGGAGGCAGCAGUGAGGAAUAUUGGUCAAUGGACGAGAGUCUGAACCAGCCAAGUAGCGUGAAGGAUGACUGCCCUAUGGGUUGUAAACUUCUUUUAUAAAGGAAUAAAACGAGGCACGUGAGCAUUUUUGCAUGUACUUUAUGAAUAAGGAGCGGCUAACGCCGUGACAGCAGCCGCGGUAAUACCGAGGAUCCGAGCGUUAUCCGGAUUUAGUGGGUUUAAAGGGAACGUAGAUGGGUUGUUAAGUCAGUUAUGAAAGUUUGAGGCUCAAACGUAAAAAUGCAAUUGAUACUGGCAGUCUUGAGUACAGUUGAGGUAGGCGGAAUUCGUGGUGUAGCGGUGAAAUGCUUAGAUAUCACGAAGAACCCCGAUUGCGAAGGCGGCUUACUAACCUGUGACUGACAUUGAUGCUCGAAAGUGUGGGUAUCAAACAGGAUUAGAUACCCCUGUAGUC
rnacentral:rRNA from 1 species